rnacentral:rRNA from 1 species
UACAUUUUAAGAUUAGAUCUCAAAUCAGGUAGGACUACCCGCUGAACUUAAGCAUAUCAAUAAGCGGAGGAAAAGAAACUAACAAGGAUUCCCCUAGUAGCGGCGAGCGAAGCGGGAAGAGCUCAAAUUUAUAAUCUGGCACCUUCGGUGUCCGAGUUGUAAUCUCUAGAAAUGUUUUCCGCGUUGGACCGCACACAAGUCUGUUGGAAUACAGCGGCAUAGUGGUGAGACCCCCGUAUAUGGUGCGGACGCCCAGCGCUUUGUGAUACAUUUUCGAAGAGUCGAGUUGUUUGGGAAUGCAGCUCAAAUUGGGUGGUAAAUUCCAUCUAAAGCUAAAUAUUGGCGAGAGACCGAUAGCGAACAAGUACCGUGAGGGAAAGAUGAAAAGCACUUUGGAAAGAGAGUUAACAGUACGUGAAAUUGUUGGAAGGGAAACGCUUGAAGUCAGACUUGCUUGCCGAGCAAUCGGUUUGCAGGCCAGCAUCAGUUUUCCGGGAUGGAUAAUGGUAGAGAGAAGGUAGCAGUUUCGGCUGUGUUAUAGCUCUCUGCUGGAUACAUCUUGGGGGACUGAGGAACGCAGUGUGCCUUUGGCGGGGGUUUCGACCUCUUCACACUUAGGAUGCUGGUGGAAUGGCUUUAAACGACCCGUCUUGAAACACGGACCAAGGAGUCUAACAUGCUUGCGAGUAUUUGGGUGUCAAACCCGGAUGCGUAAUGAAAGUGAAUGGAGGUGGGAAC